rnacentral:rRNA from 1 species
AUUGAACGCUGGCGGCGUGCCUAACACAUGCAAGUCGAGCGGCAGCGCGGGAGCAAUCCUGGCGGCGAGCGGCGGACGGGUGAGUAAUGCUUGGGAAUCUGCCUGUUAGUGGGGGACAACCCGGGGAAACUCGGGCUAAUACCGCAUACGCACUACGGUGGAAAGCCGGGGACCGCAAGGCCUGGCGCUAACAGAUGAGCCCAAGUCGGAUUAGCUAGUUGGUAGGGUAACGGCCACCAAGGCGACGAUCCGUAACUGGUCUGAGAGGACGACCAGUCACACCGGAACUGAGACACGGUCCGGACUCCUACGGGAGGCAGCAGUGGGGAAUAUUGGACAAUGGGGGAAACCCUGAUCCAGCGACGCCGCGUGGGUGAAGAAGGCCUGCGGGUUGUAAAGCCCUUUCAGUGGGGAAGAAAAGCCUCGACCUAACACGUCGGGGUCUUGACGUAACCCAUAGAAGAAGCACCGGCUAACUCUGUGCCAGCAG